GGACGGUUGGCCGAGUGGCUAGGCUCAGGUCUGCAAAACCUGCUACAGCGGUUCAAAUCCGCUACCGUCCUCAA
rnacentral:tRNA from 1 species